GACGAACGCUGGCGGCGUGCUUAACACAUGCAAGUCGAACGGAAAGGCCCUGCUUGCAGGGUACUCGAGUGGCGAACGGGUGAGUAACACGUGGGUGAUCUGCCCUUCACUUCGGGAUAAGCCUGGGAAACUGGGUCUAAUACCGGAUAGGAGCCAUUUUUAGUGUGAUGGUUGGAAAGUUUUUUCGGUGUAGGAUGAGCUCGCGGCCUAUCAGCUUGUUGGUGGGGUAAUGGCCUACCAAGGCGGCGACGGGUAGCCGGCCUGAGAGGGUGGACGGCCACAUUGGGACUGAGAUACGGCCCAGACUCCUACGGGAGGCAGCAGUGGGGAAUAUUGCACAAUGGGCGCAAGCCUGAUGCAGCGACGCCGCGUAGGGGAUGACGGCCUUCGGGUUGUAAACUCCUUUCGCUAGGGACGAAGCUUUUUGUGACGGUACCUAGAUAAGAAGCACCGGCUAACUACGUG
rnacentral:rRNA from 1 species